UACGGGGGGGGCAAGCGUUGUUAGAAAUUACUGGGCGUAAGGGGCGCGUAGGCGGGUGGCCAAGUCUAUCGUGAAAGCCCACGGCUCAACCGUGGAAUUGCGGGAGAUACUGUCAGGCUUGAGUCCGGGAGAGGAGUGUGGAAUUCCCAGUGUAGCGGUGAAAUGCGUAGGUAUUGGGAGGAUCACCGGUGGCGAAGGCGGCUCUCUGGACCGGUACUGACGCUGAGGCGCGAAAGCUAGGUGAGCAAACGGG
rnacentral:rRNA from 1 species